UACGUAGGGUCCGAGCGUUGUCCGGAAUUAUUGGGCGUAAAGGGCUCGUAGGCGGUUCGUCACGUCGGGAGUGAAAACUCGGAGCUUAACUCCGAGCCUGCUUCCGAUACGGGCAGACUAGAGGUAGGCAGGGGAGAGCGGAACUCCUGGUGUAGCGGUGGAAUGCGCAGAUAUCAGGAGGAACACCGGUGGCGAAGGCGGCAUCCUGGACCGACACUGACGCUGAGGAGCGAAAGCCAGGGGAGCAAACGGG
rnacentral:rRNA from 1 species